AACAAACGCCCAUCUUAGAUAUACUGUGUAUAAACACAUAGCAAAACUAUCUGGAAAAAUGGAGGAAUAGCAUAGAUCAAACACGUGGUUACAACUCGUCCUGAGCAUCGACAUCAUGCUGAUAAUACCCCCACUUUGAUUCAGUCAAAAAUAAAUUCCAACCCAAUGAUAUCCUGGAACCACCCUCAGAUUUCCAGUCCUCCGUGUUGACUCCUUGCUCUACUACUACUAGUAGCACAGUAGUGUUAAGAAGCUACGUCACGGAUCCGUCUUGUCCACCACUGCGGCCGCACUAGUCUACAACUAUCAGCGGUGCCUGCAGGCCACCGCCGGCGCCCGCGCGCGGAGGAAGUGCAUGCAGCCAGGAGAGAGCUAGCAUAGCAGCUAGGAGAAACUAACCAUGGCCGCCUCUCGCCGCUCUUCCGUUGAGCUCCCAGUCGCCGACCCGGCGGCGGAUCCAGACCAAGUCCGGCUGCACCAGCUGGGAUACAAGCAGGAGCUCAAGCGAGGCCUCUCCGUCCUUUCCAACUUCGCCUUGUCUUUCUCCAUCAUCUCCGUGCUGAUGGGCGUGACGAUCACCUACAACACCGGCCUGCGCUACGGCGGGCCGGUGUCCAUGACGCUGGGCUGGUUCCUCGUCUCCGCCCUCAACGCAUGCGUGGCGCUGUCCAUGGCGGAGAUCUGCUCGGCGUACCCGACCUCCGGCGGCCUCUACUACUGGAGCGCUAAGCUCGCCGGCAAGGACUGGGCUCCCCUCGCUUCCUGGCUCACCGGAUGGUUCAACAUCGUGGGACAGUGGGCAGGUACGACGAGCGUCGACUUCUCGCUGGCGCAGCUUGUGCAGGUGAUCGUCCUGCUUGCCACCGGAGGCCUCAACGGCGGCGGCUACAUGGCAUCCAAGUACGUCGUGCUGGCCAUCUACGGCGCCAUCCUGGUCAUACACGGGCUAAUGAACACCUGGCAUGGUUCGGCCAUCUCGGAGCGUUCUGGAACACCGCAGGUACAUUUGCUCUUGUGAUCAUCAUCCCAGCCGUUGCGACGGAGAGGGCGAGCACGGAGUUCAUCUUCACGCAUUUGAACACAGACAAUGGCAUGGGCGUCCACGGCAAGGCCUACAUCCUUGCCUUGGGGCUGCUGAUGAGCCAGUACUCGCUCAUCGGCUAUGACGCAUCUGCACACAUGACGGAGGAGACGAAGAACGCGGACUGGAGUGGGCCGAUGGGGAUCGUCACCUCCGUCGCUCUGUCCAGCGUCUUGGGAUGGGUCUACCUGGUGGCCCUGGCGUCGCUGAUGACGGACAUCCCGUACCUCCUGGACCCCGGCAACGACGCCGGCGGGUACGCCGUCGCGCAGGCCCUCUACGACGCUUUCCGCAGGAGGUUCGGCAGCGGCGUCGGAGGCGUCGUUUGCUUGGGGAUCGUCGCCGUCACCACCUUCCUCUGCGGCUCCGCGUGCGUCACCAGCAACUCAAGGAUGGGGUAUGCCUUCUCCAGGGACGGAGCGGUGCCAUUCUCGCACGUAUGGUACAAGGUGAACAAGCAGGAGGUGCCCUUGAACGUCGUCUGGCUCUCCGUGUCCGUGGCGUUCGCCAUGGCUCUCACGUCGCUGGGGAGCCAGGUGGCAUUCCAGGCGAUGCUGUCCGUGGCGACCGUCGGGCCGUACAUCGCCUACGGACUGCCCAUCGUCUUCCGCGUCACCACGGCCCGGAGAUCCUUCGUCCCGGGGCCGUUCCACCUCGGGAGAUACGGCCUCCUCGUCGGCUGGGUCGCCGUCGCGUGGGUGGCCGCCGUCACCGUGCUCUUCUCCCUGCCCGUAGCGUACCCCGUCGCCGAGGACACCUUCAACUACGCGCCGGUCGUCGUCGUCGGCGUGCUGCUGCUCAGCGUCGGCUCGUGGGUGCUCCACGCCCGCUUCUGGUUCCAAGGGCCAAUCACCAACGUUGAUGUCG